rnacentral:rRNA from 1 species
AUUGAACGCUGGCGGCAGGCCUAACACAUGCAAGUCGAGCGAGCGGCGGACGGGUGAGUAAUGUCUGGGAAACUGCCUGAUGGAGGGGGAUAACUACUGGAAACGGUAGCUACUACCGCAUACCAUCAGAUGUGCCCAGAGGGGAUUAGCUGGUAGGUGGGGUAACGGCUCACCUAGUCGACGAUCCCUAGCUGGUCUGAGAGGAUGACCAGCCACACUGAAGCUGAGACACGGUCCAGACUCCUAAGGGAGGCAGCAGUGGGGAAUAUUGCACAAUGGGCGCAAGCCUGAUGCAGCCAUGCCGCGUGUGUGAAGAAGGCCUUCGGUUUGUAAAGCACUUUCAGCGGGGAGGCGUUACCCGCAGAAGAAGCACCGGCUAACUCCGUGCCAGCAGCCGCGGUAAUUC